GACCCCGUAACUUAGGGAUAAGGGGUGCCACCAUCAGGUGGCCGCAGAGAAUAGGCCCAAGCGACUGUUUACCAAAAACAUAGGUUUCUGCUAAGUCGCCAGACGAUGUAUAGGAGCUGACGCCUGCUCGGUGCUGGAAGGUUAAGGGGAUCUGUUAGAGCAAUCGAAGCAGUGAACUUAAGCCCCAGUAAACGGCGGCCGUAACUAUAACGGUCCUAAGGUAGCGA
rnacentral:rRNA from 1 species